rnacentral:lncRNA from 1 species
UCCCCAAAUAAUCAUCGUGGAUGACCCUGAGGUCGGCACCGAUGCAGCUGCCGCUUCCUAGGACUUAGCUUUUCUUUCUGUUCUCUCUUUUGUAAGCGGGUUCGGCCCUUGAAUACGGCUGAACCUUAAUUUUGUACUUGGCCCUUAGGCCUUUUUAAUGAAGGGCUUCUUUUUAAAUUUGUACUUUUCUCUUCUUUGCAUAGUAGGUAAACUUUUACCUUGGCUGGCUAAAUUAAAUUCUUCUUCCACGAUUGUUUCUAAGUCUUCAAUCUCGGCUAAAUCAGUAGACCUGGGUUCUGGUAGCAUUCGCUAGA